rnacentral:RNase_P_RNA from 1 species
AAUAACGUUCAGGUAAUCGCUGCAUCAUUUGAUGUAGAGGAAAGUCCAUGCUCGCACGGUGCUGAGAUGCCCGUAGUGUUCGUGCCUAGUGAAAAAAUAAGCUAGGGCAGCUUGGCUUAUAGCUUAGCUGACGGCGGGAAAAACCACCUAAGUCCUCGGAUAUGGUCGAGUAUCCCUGAAAGUGCCACAGUGACGAAGCUUUGCUGGAAACAGCAAAGGUGGAACGCGGUAAACCCCACGAGCGAGAAACCCAAACAAUGGUAGGGGAACUGUCUCUAAGGAAUUCAACGGAGAGACGGACGGUUACACGUGUAAUCGUAGAUAGAUGAUUACCGCCUGAGUACGAGAGUAAAAUCGUUUGCAGUACAAAGGUACAAAACAUGGCUUAUCGAACGUUGUUGAAA